CUCUGCUCUCCCGGUCGGUAAAGACUACCGCGACCGUACUUGGUGACGUGACGUGACGCGCGCUGCUGGUGCACGCGGAUGCGCUUCGAGAGGCACUCUCCCGAGGCCGUCGCGUUGGAAACUCGGAACUCGGGACUCGGACGGGAGGCUACGUCGAGGGUAGGUAGAAUAUUCAGUGGAGACGCGAAACAAUUAAAGAGGAGACGACGAGUGUUCGCCUAAAAAGAGAAUUUUCGGAGGAGGAUGCUCGGCAGUUGGGGCUGGGAAGAAAAAUUGGAGUUGGGAGAGGGUACAACAACCCCGACGCGAGAGAGACAAAGACGAGAGAGCCCAGACUCGACGCAUCCUGUCCCCGACAGUCGGGUGCUGAGGUAUGCACCUAGCCGGUGUCACCACCCUCCCAGCUACAGCUCGCCUUUCAACACGCAGCCUUCUCUCUAUUGUACGGACUAGCAGCGUGAGAUGGUCAAGAUGCUGACUGCUCAUCCUGAGAUGCACGAGAAGCGGGAUGGCCUCGGCAGCG